rnacentral:rRNA from 1 species
UACGUAGGAUCCAAGCGUUGUCCGGAUUUACUGGGUGUAAAGGGUGCGCAGGCGGACUUGUAAGUCAGGGGUGAAAUCUCACAGCUCAACUGUGAAACUGCCUUUGAUACUGCAAGUCUUGGAUCCAGAAGAGAGUUGUGGAAUUCCGAGUGUAGCAGUGAAAUGUGUAGAUAUUCGGAAGAACACCAGUGGCGAAGGCAGCAACUUGGUCUGGUAUCGACGCUCAGGCGCGAAAGCGUGGGGAGCAAACAGG